rfam:Ovis aries breed Texel chromosome 2, whole genome shotgun sequence.
UCCCAGAUAGCUCAAUUGGUAAAGAACCUACCUGCAAUGCAGGAGACCCUGGUUCAAUUCCUGGGUUGGGAA